AGAGUUUGAUCCUGGCUCAGGACGAACGCUGGCGGCGUGCUUAACACAUGCAAGUCGAGCGGAAAGGCCCUUCGGGGUACUCGAGCGGCGAACGGGUGAGUAACACGUGAGUAACCUGCCCUUGGCUCUGGGAUAAGCCCGGGAAACUGGGUCUAAUACCGGAUAUGACGCGCUACCGCAUGGUGGUGUGUGGAAAGUUU
rnacentral:rRNA from 1 species